GACGAACGCUGGCGGCGUGCUUAACACAUGCAAGUCGAACGGAAAGGCCCUGCUUUUGUGGGGUGCUCGAGUGGCGAACGGGUGAGUAACACGUGAGUAACCUGCUCUUGACUUUGGGAUAACUUCAGGAAACUGGGGCUAAUACCGGAUAGGAGCUCCUGCUGCAUGGUGGGGGUUGGAAAGUUUCGGCGGUUGGGGAUGGACUCGCGGCUUAUCAGCUUGUUGGUGGGGUAGUGGCUUACCAAGGCUUUGACGGGUAGCCGGCCUGAGAGGGUGACCGGCCACAUUGGGACUGAGAUACGGCCCAGACUCCUACGGGAGGCAGCAGUGGGGAAUAUUGCACAAUGGGCGGAAGCCUGAUGCAGCAACGCCGCGUGCGGGAUGACGGCCUUCGGGUUGUAAACCGCUUUCGCCUGUGACGAAGCGUGAGUGACGGUAAUGGGUGAAGAAGCACCGGCUAACUACGUG
rnacentral:rRNA from 1 species